rnacentral:rRNA from 1 species
AGUCAUAGUAUGGCGUACCUCUUGUAUAAUGGGCCAGUGAGUUAUAUAUAUUAGCGUAGUAAUUUAUAAAUAAAUUGAGUAAAUCAAUCUUAAGUUAAUGUAUAUAGGCCCGAAAGCAGACGAUUUACACAUCUCCAAGACCCGACCUUGUAAACGCAGGGUCGGGGUCUGAAUAGGUGGAUGUAGCAAUAUUCUCUAAAGAGGGGUGUGUAGAAGUGACAGACAAAUCUGGUUUGCCGAUAGCUGGUUUUCUGCGAAAUAUAUAUAAGUAUAGCCUUUACGAUGGAACACAAAAGUGAAUCCUAUGUAUUAACUGGUACAGCACUUAGAUCAUUUUGGGGGAUUAUAAUAUAAUUUUAUCAAAAGAUCUAAACCUCGGAACAGUAAACCAUAAAGUAAGGAGUCAGACUUAUUGCGAUAAGGUAGUAGGUCGAAAAGGAAACAACCUAGACUAUUAAAUGUAUGUCCCAAAAAUAUAUAUCUCGCCUAGGCGAGAUGUACAUCCCUCCUUUGGGAGGGAAAUAUUAAGUGAACAAAAUCUAUUUUUUAUAGAUAGACAAUCAGUCAGCGGGUUUGACAAUAAUCAACUGUUAAGGGACAUGUAACAAUGUACUGAUGUGACAUAUUAAAUAGAGAAAAUAUACGGGUCUAAAUAUAUUACAGAAUAAUAGAUUAGAAGAAAUAUUCUUCUGAUGGUAGCAGAAUAUAUGAUAAAUAAUCAUAAAGAGAUUGCUGGCUUGAGUAACGAUAGGUAGUAUAAGACUACCCUCCAAUUCAUAAGGUUUU